UACGGAGGGUGCAAGCGUUAUCCGGAUUCACUGGGUUUAAAGGGUGCGUAGGUGGGCAGGUAAGUCAGUGGUGAAAUCUCCGAGCUUAACUCGGAAACUGCCGUUGAUACUAUUUGUCUUGAAUAUUGUGGAGGUAAGCGGAAUAUGUCAUGUAGCGGUGAAAUGCUUAGAUAUGACAUAGAACACCAAUUGCGAAGGCAGCUUCUACACAACGAUUGACGCUGAGGCACGAAAGCGUGGGGAUCAAACAGG
rnacentral:rRNA from 1 species